CCGGCACCGGUUCACCCCGGUACGCCCGUCCCGGGGAUCCGGCGGCC
rnacentral:ncRNA from 1 species